rnacentral:rRNA from 1 species
AGGGGGCAAGCGUUAUCCGGAUUUACUGGGUGUAAAGGGAGUGUAGACGGCAAGGCAAGUCUGAAGUGAAAGCCCGGUGCUCAACGCCGGGACUGCUUUGGAAACUGUUUAGCUAGAGUGCCGGAGAGGUAAGCGGAAUUCCUAGUGUAGCGGUGAAAUGCGUAGAUAUUAGGAAGAACACCAGUGGCGAAGGCAGCUUACUGGACGGUAACUGACGUUGAGGCUCGAAAGCGUGGAGAGCAAA